rnacentral:tRNA from 1 species
GGGGAUUUAGCUCAGCAGUAGAGCGCUUGCCCAGCAAGCACGAGGCCCUGGGUUCAGUCCCCAGCUCCG